CUCACCUAAAAUAGGUAGUGCAAUGGAAAGGUUAGUGUGGAGAAUAUAGUUCUGAGCAUUAUAGCACACCAGUUCCAGAGACACAGUCCAAUGUCUGCAAUGGGGUAGAGGUAAAUCAGGCAGAAUCCUAGCAAUUGGAAGGACUAUUCAGAACUCUGAUAACAAAGGGGAACAAGAUGCU